rnacentral:ncRNA from 1 species
AUAAAGACUAUGAAAACGAGAGUAAAUAUAGUGGUUUCACUAGAGAGUAGAUGUCGUUGGCUGUAAGCAUCUUUGAAUAAAGCUAUGUUGAAGUUCACGUUUGAGUUUAUCCUUUGAAGUUAGUAGGAGGAUACGGUUGAGGUCGUUAUUUCCUCGCUAAGAGCCUAUCUUGCAUAGGAAUUUGGGUGGUACCGCGUUUUUUCGUCCCUUUU